UACGAAGGGGGCUAGCGUUGUUCGGAAUCACUGGGCGUAAAGGGCGCGUAGGCGGCGCGACAAGUCAGGCGUGAAAGCCCCGGGCUCAACCCGGGGAAUUGCGCUUGAUACUGUCGUGCUUGAGGCCGGGAGAGGAUGGCGGAAUUCCCAGUGUAGAGGUGAAAUUCGUAGAUAUUUGGGAAGAACACCGGUGGCGAAGGCGGCCAUCUGGACCGGUUCUGACGCUGAGGCGCGAAAGCGUGGGGGAGCAAACAGG
rnacentral:rRNA from 1 species